CCUCUAGGUCAUCACAGAGCACUGGGCUGAGCUCCCUGUGUUAUACAGCAACUUCCCUCUAGGGUGAGAAUCAUUCUCCUCACAUUUCCUGGUUGGGAAAUGAUUGAGAAAUACACACAGGCAUCAGGGCUGACCACUAUGGGCAGACAGAUCUGAAUGAGAGAGCUAGAGAAGCCAGGCCUCACACAUGCAGUGACCCAUCCAGCUAUCUACCAGUUAGUGUCUAUUCAUCCAUAAACGGCUCACUUCAAGUUUAGAGCAUGAAUGCCAGUAACAGUGGAGACUAACAGCUUACUCUUUCCUGUUAGAAGAAAAAAGACAAUUGCCUCAAUCAUAGAGUAAAAGCCCUGAGAUUCAAACCAUGGCCUAUUGAAUUCAGGAGUCUGAGUGACUCAGGCCAAAACCAAGCACGGGGGCAAGAAGACUACGAUAACCUUAAAAUAUCAGGCCAAAAAGGGCCUACCUCGAGAUGGGACUAAGGAUGAGGCUAUGGCUCAUCCAAGCCACACAGCUGCUGCAUAACAAAGGAGUGGAACUGAGAAGGACGUUUUUGUAAAGUGACUCUUCAGAUUCUCACAUGCCUGUGGUGUCAGAGGCUCAACAAGACAUCAAAAACGUUUCACAAAGAAACAGAAAGUGCUCAUGUAUGGAUGUGAGAGCUGGACUAUAAAGAAAGCUGAGCAGCUAAGAAUUGAUGCUUUUGAACUGUGGUGUUGGAGAAGAC
ensembl:lncRNA